rnacentral:rRNA from 1 species
UGCAAGUCGAGCGGGGAAAGGUAGCUUGCUACCUGACCUAGCGGCGGACGGGUGAGUAAUGCUUAGGAAUCUGCCUAUUAGUGGGGGACAACAUCUCGAAAGGGAUGCUAAUACCGCAUACGUCCUACGGGAGAAAGCAGGGGACCUUCGGGCCUUGCGCUAAUAGAUGAGCCUAAGUCGGAUUAGCUAGUUGGUGGGGUAAAGGCCUACCAAGGCGACGAUCUGUAGCGGGUCUGAGAGGAUGAUCCGCCACACUGGGACUGAGACACGGCCCAGACUCCUACGGGAGGCAGCAGUGGGGAAUAUUGGACAAUGGGGGGAACCCUGAUCCAGCCAUGCCGCGUGUGUGAAGAAGGCCUUUUGGUUGUAAAGCACUUUAAGCGAGGAGGAGGCUACCGAGAUUAAUACUCUUGGAUAGUGGACGUUACUCGCAGAAUAAGCACCGGCUAACUCUGUGCCAGCAGCCGCGGUAAUACAGAGGGUGCAAGCGUUAAUCGGAUUUACUGGGCGUAAAGCGCGCGUAGGUGGCCAAUUAAGUCAAAUGUGAAAUCCCCGAGCUUAACUUGGGAAUUGCAUUCGAUACUGGUUGGCUAGAGUAUGGGAGAGGAUGGUAGAAUUCCAGGUGUAGCGGUGAAAUGCGUAGAGAUCUGGAGGAAUACCGAUGGCGAAGGCAGCCAUCUGGCCUAAUACUGACACUGAGGUGCGAAAGCAUGGGGAGCAAACAGGAUUAGAUACCCUGGUAGUCCAUGCCGUAAACGAUGUCUACUAGCCGUUGGGGCCUUUGAGGCUUUAGUGGCGCAGCUAACGCGAUAAGUAGACCGCCUGGGGAGUACGGUCGCAAGACUAAAACUCAAAUGAAUUGACGGGGGCCCGCACAAGCGGUGGAGCAUGUGGUUUAAUUCGAUGCAACGCGAAGAACCUUACCUGGUCUUGACAUAGUAAGAACUUUCCAGAGAUGGAUUGGUGCCUUC